rnacentral:misc_RNA from 1 species
CCGUUGGUGAACCAGCGGAGGGAUCAUUACAGGAUCGAAAGACUCCUAUAACCCCUGUGAACUUACUACAAAUACGUUGCUUCGGCGGGUGCCCCGGGUCUCCCGGGGCGUUCAGCCCGCCGGCAGCCUUCAAAUUCUGUUUCUUUGCGUUGGCAUCUCGAGUAUACAAAAAUAAGUUAAAACUUUCAACAACGGAUCUCUUGGUUCUG